GAGAGAGAGAGAGAGAGAGAGAGGGUCGGCCGCCUCGUGUGCUUGCUUCUCUCGCUCGUUCGCUCGCUCGCUCGCUCGCUGCUGCAACAGAGACGUUGUUUUUCCCAAGAAAUUUUUUGCCACCGUCCACAUAAUACGAUGAUACGCAAGCCGAGUUGCCACUUGCCACAAGCUGGCUGAUCACACAGCUUUUCUUCCAGGCUGAUGCUGUCCGAAUCUUUCGAUUUUUGCCCUUCUGCAUCGCUCUCCUCACUGCUCUCUUCCUCGCUCGAUGAUUUCGUUUUUUC